CAGUAGCCGCGGUAAUACGAAGGGUGCAAGCGUUAAUCGGAAUUACUGGGCGUAAAGCGUGCGUAGGCGGUUUGUUAAAUCUGCUGUGAAAUCCCCGGGCUCAACCUGGGAAUGGCAGUGGAUACUGGCAAGCUAGAGUGUGUCAGAGGAUGGUGGAAUUCCCGGUGUAGCGGUGAAAUGCGUAGAGAUCGGGAGGAACAUCAGUGGCGAAGGCGGCCAUCUGGGACAACACUGACGCUGAGGCACGAAAGCGUGGGGAGCAAACAGGAUUAGAUACCCCCGUAGUCCCUGUCUCUUAUAC
rnacentral:rRNA from 1 species